CCCCUCCUCUGUGUCUCUUGUUGUUGAGGAGCACUGACCCUCUGUCUCUAGGUGUUGAGGAGCACUGACCCUCUCCUCUGUGUCUCUAGGUGUGAGGAGCACUGACCCUCUCCUCUGUGUCUCUAGGUGUUGAGGAGCACUGACCCUCUCCUCUGUGUCUCGAGGUGUUGAGGAGCACUGACCCUCUCCUCUGUGUCUCUAGGUGUUGAGGAGCACUGACCCUCUCCUCUGUGUCUCUAGGUGUGAGGAGCACUGACCCUCUCCUCUGUGUCUCUAGGUGUUGAGGAGCACUGACCCUCUCCUCUGUGUCUCUAGGUGUGAGGAGCACUGACCCUCUGUGUCUCCAGGUGUUGAGGAGCACUGACCCUCUCCUCUGUGUCUCUAG
ensembl:lncRNA